CCAUAACACUUCGCUCUGAUGGCAAGUUAGUUUUAGUUAUUAAACUUCAUAUGGUAAUUUAUGUUUAUUGUGAUCAAACUUUUAGUUCAAAUAAACCAUUAAACAUGGACUAUUCUCAAACUUAAAGAAAGAGGCUUAAAUCCUCAAGGCUUUUAAGCCCAACAACACCAAUGAUUUAUAUUAUUUUAAGUUAGGAAACUAAGCCAUAGAAAUAACCAGCAAAAGUGACUAAUAGGGUGCCAGCAGUCGCGGUUAGACCCUUACUUUAAAUUAACUACUACAAAACCAAAGAGGAUCAUUAAUUAUGAGCAAGAUCAUAACCGCAAAGAUGUAAGUAAAAUUUCAACCUAAAGCUCACACCCGAACGGAUCUCACAAUGCGCCUCAACAAACCACAUCCACGAGACAGGGAUUAGAUACCCCAUUACCGAGUGGCCCAACCAAUAAAACAGUAAGAAUGAAAAUUUUAAAAUUAAAGAGCGUGGCGGUGUUCCACACCAUAUUAGGGGAUCCUGUGGCUUAAUUCGAUAAUCCACGAAUAUCAAAGCUUUUAUUAGCUACCAGCUUGCGUAUGGCCGUUUUAUGUCUUUGCACCUAAACAUAAAAAAAAGGCAUCAGAACCAUUAAAUUCUGUAACACAGGUGACACACAGCCAAUAUAAAGCAGCUAAUGGGAUACAAAUAACUACUAUUACCCUAAGUAGAUUGACAUCUCUACACUAAAGGAGGAACUUAAAAGUAAGACCACAACACUAUUAUGGCCUGAACAAGAUAUGGAACGCGUAACAAAUCGCCCGUCACUCCUGCUAUUAACAGGAUAAGUCGUAACAUAGUGGGGGUAACGGAAGUUGCCCCUGAAUC
rnacentral:ncRNA from 1 species